CACAGGGAAAGGAAGAAAAUCCUACUGCC
rnacentral:piRNA from 1 species